ensembl:lncRNA
CACGUAUUCCCCAAGGUGUCUACAGCAUUGUGACAUAUUUUUACGCAUUUCCAUUAAAGAAUAGCCGCAAGGGAGCAUAUUUAGCAAGUGGUCACAUGGUGUCUCCCGCAGAAAAUCUUGCGUAAAAUACUGAGGUAAGCCAUUUUUCCAAUCGCUUCUUAUAAGAAACCAAUUGCCUCGACGGAUAUAUUAUCAAAUAUAUAUGUUAAAAACACCUUGAGGAUGGAUCCUAAACAACGUUUGCCGUGUUUCUGUCGAUAUUAUGGAGCUAAUUUUGAAAAAAGUUUGGCGUUGUAGUGGUAGCAUUUUCCGGUCGAUUUCUCAGCCAAGCAUGAUGAACAAACUGGAGCUAUUUCACCUACAAAAAUAAUAUUUUGGGAAAAAAGGAACAUUUGCUAUCUAACUGGGAGUCUCCUGAGUGAAAACAUCCGAAGUUCUUCAAAGCAAUACUUUGCCCUGACAAGAAAGAGCUGUUUGAAAAUGUCUCCCUGUCAAGACGAAGAAUAACACGUUGUGAUGAGGACAUCGCAGAGAAUAUGGAACAACAAGGAAGUUUGUCUCACUGUUGGAAGAGACAGAGUCAUGCAGAUCUCCCCUACCACACAAAUGUGAGAUGGCUGAGUUUGGGGAAGGUGCUUAAAAGGGUGUAGGACCUGAAGUUGGAGAUUGCUGAGUUUUUGCAA